rnacentral:rRNA from 1 species
UAGGGAAUCUUCGGCAAUGGACGAAAGUCUGACCGAGCAACGCCGCGUGAGUGAAGAAGGUUUUCGGAUCGUAAAACUCUGUUGGUAGAGAAGAACGUUGGUGAGAGUGGAAAGCUCAUCAAGUGACGGUAACUACCCAGAAAGGGACGGCUAACUACGUGCCAGCAGCCGCGGUAAUACGUAGGUCCCGAGCGUUGUCCGGAUUUAUUGGGCGUAAAGCGAGCGCAGGUGGUUUAUUAAGUCUGGUGUAAAAGGCAGUGGCUCAACCAUUGUAUGCAUUGGAAACUGGUAGACUUGAGUGCAGGAGAGGAGAGUGGAAUUCCAUGUGUAGCGGUGAAAUGCGUAGAUAUAUGGAGGAACACCGGUGGCGAAAGCGGCUCUCUGGCCUGUAACUGACACUGAGGCUCGAAAGCGUGGGGAGCAAACAGGAUUAGAUACCCCGGUAGUCCCUGA